rnacentral:ncRNA from 1 species
CAACCUGAACUCAGUCGUGAUUACCCGCUGAACUUAAGCAUAUCAUUUAGCGGAGGAAAAGAAACUAAAAAGGAUUCCCCUAGUAACGGCGAGUGAAACGGGAAGAGCCCAGCGCCGAAUCGAUCAGUCUUUGGCUGCUUACGAAAUGUGGCGUAUAGGUGUAGUCUUCCAGCAGUGUCGUAUGUCCGAAGUCCUUGCGAUUGAGGCCAUAAACCAGAGAGGGUGCGAGCCCCGUUCUGGAUAGCGGCGCUGUUGGUUCGACUGCUCCUUGGAGUCGGGUUGCUUGAAAGUGCAGCCUAAAGUGGGUGAUAAACUUCAUCUAAGGCUAAAUAUUGACUCGAUUGCGAUAGCGAACAAGUACCGUGAGGGAAAGUUGCAAAGGACUUUGAAGAGAGAGUUCAAGAGAACGUGAAAUCGCUGGAGUGGAACCGGAGACAGUUGAUGUUGCUUGGAGCAAUCUUGGUGGCUGAUCGCUUAGCUGUGAUCGCCGCCGGGAGUCGUUUCCUAUGCUACGCCGACGGCGUUGGCCGCUCGUUCUGGCCCGACAGUGUUGCCCAUCUCGCAAGAGACGGUGUCUUGUUGUCGGUCGUUGGUUCGUGGUGGCUAGCGUUUAGUUACGCUAGUGUGUGUGACGUCGGUGUGAAAGUCGACGACGUUUCCGACCCGUCUUGAAACACGGAUUACGGAGUGUUUGUCUGCUGCGAGUCAAAGGGUGUAAAAACCUUGCGGCGCAAUGAAAGUGAAGGUUAGUCUCGAACUGACCGACGUGGGAUCCGUGCUCUUCGGAGUGCGGCGCACCACGGCCCUAUGCGUGUCACUUGUGACUGUGUAGAGGUUGAGCAGUAGGCAAGCGACCCGAAAGAUGGUGAACUAUGCCUGAGCAGGAUGAAGCCAGAGGAAACUCUGGUGGAAGUCCGUAUCGGUUCUGACGUGCAAAUCGAUCGAUAGAC